UACGGAGGGUGCAAGCGUUAUCCGGAAUCAUUGGGUUUAAAGGGUCCGUAGGUGGACUGAUAAGUCAGAGGUGAAAUCCCACAGCUUAACUGUGGAACUGCCUUUGAUACUGUUAGUCUUGAGUUACUUGGAAGUAGAUAGAAUGUGUAGUGUAGCGGUGAAAUGCAUAGAUAUUACACAGAAUACCGAUUGCGAAGGCAGUCUACUACGUAUAUACUGACGCUAAUGGACGAAAGCGUGGGGAGCGAACAGG
rnacentral:rRNA from 1 species